GAUUAAACUGAAGAGUUUGAUCCUGGCUCAGAUUGAACGCUGGCGGCAUGCCUAACACAUGCAAGUCGAACGGCAGCAUGACGUGUAGCAAUACACGUUGAUGGCGAGUGGCGGACGGGUGAGUAAUACUUAGGAAUCUACCCAGUAGCGGGGGAUAGCUCGGCGAAAGCCGGAUUAAUACCGCAUACGCCCUACGGGGGAAAGCGGGGGACCUUCGGGCCUCGCACUAUUGGAUGAGCCUAAGUCUGAUUAGCUAGUUGGUAGGGUAAUGGCCUACCAAGGCAACGAUCAGUAGCUGGUCUGAGAGGAUGAUCAGCCACACUGGGACUGAGACACGGCCCAGACUCCUACGGGAGGCAGCAGUGGGGAAUAUUGGACA
rnacentral:rRNA from 1 species